CGGGGCAAAUACACUUUAUUCAGUCCUGGCAUCAGACUGGCGGAGUCCUGCUGUGGGUGCCAGUGCCCCAGACAGAGGGACCCCACCCCUCAGCUACGAGACUAGUUCUCCAAGACCACAGACAGUGACAUCUCUUCACUCACAUGACGUUUUUUUUUUCAUUGUCUUUUUUUGUUGUUGUUGUUUUUCUUAAAAAAAAAAAAAAAAAAAAUAGAGCGCAAGAAAGGCCCAGAGCCGGAGCACCAAGCUUAAAGGAGGCAGCUGGUGGCUUUGUCAGCGACGGGAACGCGUGGGGCAGAGACCUGCAGAGACCCUGGGCAGGGGUCCGGAGGACUCUGGGACCGUUUGUUCCUGAGAUUUGUGUGUGUGAAUGAGAGUGUGUGAGCCACCCGGGAGGGUGAACACACGCCGGUGAGAUACAGGUAGUGAGGGCAAGGGGGGUGUGGGGAGGCCGGAGGGGCGGGGCGGGGCAGAGAGAUGGCGGCGUGAGAGGGGCCACAGCAACAGGGACAGGGCUCCCGAGGGCACCCUGAACUGGACACAACUUCCUCCUAACAGCAGCGUUCUCCCCAUUUCUCACGUGGAAAAACCGAGGUGCAAACGGCCCAUCACUACUCGGAAUCCAUUCUCAGUCUCACUGGCCAAGUCGAUGGUCUCUCCCAAACCAGAUGUUUAAAAGCGAGAGUCUUCCUGCCAUCACAUCUGCUCUCCACGCCUCAGUCCCAAACCCCUAGCACCAAAGUGCCUCAGUUUUUCCCGCUGUAUACUGCAGCUUGAGUACUGAGGGUGGACCUGGGUGACAGGAAGGGCCGGUGCGCUCAGGGAGGAGCCCAGGUUGCGGGUGCCCUGAGGUGAGGGGGCACUUCCCAGGAGGGGGUGGGGAAGGUGCAGCAGGGAUCCUGUCCCCAGACAGACUGGUAAGGUGCCUUGGUUUUUAGUUUUCUUGGGUGGUCCCUUCCUCUACUGCUGGAUUUCCAGAGAAAGACCUUACCUCUCAAUUCCCAGUUGGGGGGAAAAAGGGACGUAUAGGUAGGCUGUAGAGGCAGCCACGCGACCGGAGAGGUGGUGCGCGUGGGUGUAGGAGACCCCAUACCGGAAAAGGGGCUAUGCCACUUGGGAGAGUUUCAGGCCCAAACCAACCCUUCCGAGUGCUCCUCCCAUUAAGGCAGCGACGCCCCGUUGGCUGGAGAGGAAACCUAGGGCUCCCGGAUCAAAGGAUUUCCCAGGAUCGCUCUACACUCGCCCCCGCUUUUGCCCGGAGCGGGCGAAGAGUGCGGCUCCGCUGGGACCAGCCCCCUCCUCCCCAGAAGCAUUAAGCAUGCGCACGAAGGGGGUGGGCCCCAGCGGAGGGGCGGGCCCUAGCGCUCCGGGGAUAAAAGGGGUGCGCCCCUCCCCCCAGGGAAGGGAGGGGCGCAGGAGGCGCGUGCGUUGCCACCCGGCCGCAUCGCCCCCCUAACCCAGAGAAGGCGGGCCGGGCGAGGGAGGAGAGAUUCCGGAGCAAAGGAGGGGGCGGGUCCUCCGGCCACGAGGAGGGGCGUGUGCAAAAGGGGGGAGGAGGCAGCGGCGACGGAGGGGCGGCCCCGCCCCGCGGCUCGGCCCGGCCCCCGCGAACUGGGGAGCGAGGAGCUGGGCGCUCGGGCCCAACGGACGGCGGGGGGAGAAGGUCAGCGCGGUCUCAGGCGGGCUCGGCGCGCCCCCGCCGCCUCCGGCAAGUUGCGUCCUGGCUCACAACACACAUUGUUUUGCGGGGGCCGAGGAAUCGCACCCUCCGGGCCCCCGCGGG
rnacentral:lncRNA from 10 species